rnacentral:rRNA from 1 species
AAUUUUGGACAAUGGGGGCAACCCUGAUCCAGCCAUGCCGCGAGUGGGAAGAAGCUCUUCGGUUUGUAAAGCACUUUAAGUUGGGAGGAAGGGCUUUAGGUUAAUACCCUGAAGUUUUGACGUUACCAAAAGAAAAAGCACCGGCUAACUCUGUGCCAGCAGCCGCGGUAAUACAGGGGGUGCAAGCGUUAAUCGGAAUUACUGGGCGUAAAGCGCGCGUAGGUGGUUCAGUAAGAUGGGUGUGAAAUCCCCGGGCUUAACCUGGGAACUGCUUUCAUAACUGCUGAGCUAGAGUACGGUAGAGGGUAGUGGAAUUUCCUGUGUAGCGGUGAAAUGCGUAGAUAUAGGAAGGAACACCAGUGGCGAAGGCGACUACCUGGACUGAUACUGACACUGAGGUGCGAAAGCGUGGGGAGCAAAC